AGUGAACGCUGGCGGUAGGCCUAACACAUGCAAGUCGAACGGCAGCACAGUAAGAGCUUGCUCUUACGGGUGGCGAGUGGCGGACGGGUGAGGAAUACAUCGGAAUCUACUUUUUCGUGGGGGAUAACGUAGGGAAACUUACGCUAAUACCGCAUACGACCUACGGUCGAAAGCAGGGGAUCUUCGGACCUUGCGCGAUUGAAUGAGCCGAUGUCGGAUUAGCUAGUUGGCGGGGUAAAGGCCCACCAAGGCGACGAUCCGUAGCUGGUCUGAGAGGAUGAUCAGCCACACUGGAACUGAGACACGGUCCAGACUCCUACGGGAGGCAGCAGUGGGGAAUAUUGGACAAUGGGCGCAAGCCUGAUCCAGCCAUACCGCGUGGGUGAAGAAGGCCUUCGGGUUGUAAAGCCCUUUUGUUGGGAAAGAAAAGCAGCAGGUUAAUACCCCGCUGUUCUGACGGUACCCAAAGAAUAAGCACCGGCUAACUUCGUG
rnacentral:rRNA from 1 species